CCCUACCCAAAAGGGCAGAGAGGCUGCUUCCAUGCGACCCUCGGCGCAUAGGACAGAAUGAAAAGCUGCAUUGGAAAACAAAGACAAAAUUAGUAACCAUCAUCUUAGAAAAACAAAACAAACAGAGAUUAGAAGAGAACAACCGCGAUUCCGUCUCUUAUACAAAAACGAAAACAUAUUCUGGUUUUCUUCUUUCAUUUUUUUCGACUUUCGUGUCAAAAAUAGAAGUAUUGUCCUUUGAUUUUCGUCCCGAAAUGGAGGUGAUUUAAGUUUGUGUGUGGGUUCAAAAUUCAUUGUGCCGUUCGAGGUUUCCGCUCACUACUCCGAUCUGUUGAUUUACGUCUGUUUUUAUUCAGCUUUCUUGUCAUCAGUUAAGGUUUGGUCUUCACUGUGUUCUCAAAUCCAUUCUUGAGCAUAUGAAUAAAUGAUUUUGAUUUAUGUAAUAUGUGAGAAGUGGAUUAAAUUCCUUUUGUUGUGCUAUGUGAGUUUGACUACUUGGUUCAUCUAAUAAUUAACUUGUGGAAGUAUUUGAGUGUUGUUGAAAUUGAAAUCGUGUUUUAUUUUUCCACAAAGGCAUGAAGCAGAACUAUCAUUACGAAUAUAUAAUGAGUGUUUGGGUUUGGCGUAAAAGUGAAUGUAAGGUGUUUGGUGAAAUGCGUCACUAAAAUCUUUGAGAAAUACUACGACACGGUAAGUGUAACGAUGAUGACGAUGAUGUAAGGUAUAUGCAUAUGUGCAAAUUUGCUUGUUUCAUAUUAAUUUAAAAACCGUGAUAUCCCUUUUGGAUUCCUUUCCGUUAA
rnacentral:lncRNA from 1 species